rnacentral:rRNA from 1 species
GACGAACGCUGGCGGCGUGCUUAACACAUGCAAGUCGAGCGGAAAGGCCCUUUCGGGGGUACUCGAGCGGCGAACGGGUGAGUAACACGUGAGUAAUCUGCCCCUGGCUUUGGGAUAGCCACCGGAAACGGUGAUUAAUACCGGAUACGACCACUUCCCGCAUGGGAUGGUGGGGGAAAGUUCUUCGGCCAGGGAUGUGCUCGCGGCCUAUCAGCUUGAUGGUGAGGUAAUGGCUACCCAUGGCUUCGACGGGUAGCCGGGCUGAGAGGGUGACCGGUCACACUGGGACUGAGACACGGCCCAGACUCCUACGGGAGGCAGCAGUGGGGAAUAUUGGACAAUGGGCGGAAGCCUGAUCCAGCAACGCCGCGUGAGGGAUGACGGCCUUCGGGUUGUAAACCUCUUUCAGCAGGGACGAAGCGCAAGUGACGGUACCUGCAGAAGAAGCACCGGCCAACUACGUGCCAGCCGCCGCCGUAA